CCUACGGGGGGCUGCAGUCGAGAAUAGUCUACAAUGGACGGAAGUCUGAUAGUGCGACGCCGCGUGAACGAAGAAUCCCUUCGGGGUGUAAAGUUCUUUUAUACGUGAGCAGUGCCCUUUAUAUGAAUAGUAUAGAGGGAGGGAUUUAAGCGUAUGAAUAAGCAACGGCUAACUCCGUGCCAGCAGCCGCGGUAACACGGGGGUUGCAAGCGUUGUCCGGAAUUACUAGGCGUAAAGUGCAGGUAGGCGGAUAGAUAAGUUUAAGGUUAAAGGCUACGGCUUACCCGUAGUAAGGCGUUAGAUACUGUUUAUCUGGAAUGCGGUUGAGGGAGACAGAAUUCCUGGUGUAGCGGUGGAAUGCGCAGAGAUCAGGAGGAAUACCGAAGGCGAAGGCAGUCUUCUAAGCCGAUAUUGACGCUAAACUGCGAAGGUGUGGGGAUCAAACAGGAUUAGAUACCCCAGUAGUC
rnacentral:rRNA from 1 species